UGACGGUACCUGACUAAGAAGCCCCGGCUAACUACGUGCCAGCAGCCGCGGUAAUACGUAGGGGGCAAGCGUUAUCCGGAUUUACUGGGUGUAAAGGGAGCGUAGACGGCUUUGCAAGUCUGAAGUGAAAGCCCGGGGCUCAACCCCGGAACUGCUUUGGAAACUGUAGAGCUAGAGUGCAGGAGAGGUAAGUGGAAUUCCUAGUGUAGCGGUGAAAUGCGUAGAUAUUAGGAGGAACACCAGUGGCGAAGGCGGCUUACUGGACUGCAACUGACGUUGAGGCUCGAAGGCGUGGGGAGCAAACAGGAUUAGAUACCCUG
rnacentral:rRNA from 1 species